CAUGCCGUAAACGUUGGGCGCUAGGUGUGGGGACCUUCCACGGUCUCCGUGCCGCAGCUAACGCAUUAAGCGCCCCGCCUGGGGAGUACGGCCGCAAGGCUAAAACUCAAAGGAAUUGACGGGGGCCCGCACAAGCGGCGGAGCAUGCUGAUUAAUUCGAUGCAACGCGAAGAACCUUACCUGGGUUUGACAUAUACCGGAAAGCUGCAGAGAUGUAGCCCCCUUUUGGUCGGUAUACAGGUGG
rnacentral:rRNA from 1 species